rnacentral:rRNA from 1 species
GGGCCCGCACAAGCAGUGGAGCAUGUGGUUUAAUUCGAUGCAACGCGAAGAACCUUACCAGGCCUUGACAUCCUCGGAACUUUCUAGAGAUAGAUUGGUGCCUUCGGGAACCGAGUGACAGGUGCUGCAUGGCUGUCGUCAGCUCGUGUCGUGAGAUGUUGGGUUAAGUCCCGUAACGAGCGCAACCCUUGUCCUUAGUUGCCAGCAUUUAGUUGGGCACUCUAGAGAGACUGCCGGUGAUAAACCGGAGGAAGGUGUGGACGACGUCAAGUCAUCAUGGCCCUUACGGCCUGGGCUACACACGUGCUACAAUGGCUAGGACAGACGGCCGCAAACCCGCGAGGGGGAGCCAAUCCGACAAACCUAGUCGUAGUCCGGAUCGGAGUCUGCAACUCGACUCCGUGAAGUCGGAAUUGCUAGUAAUCGC